UACAGGGGGUGCAAACGUUGCUCGGAAUUAUUGGGCGUAAAGCGCGCGUAGGCGGCUACCUAAGUCGGAUGUGAAAGCCCCUGGCUUAACUGGGGAAGUGCACCCGAAACUGAGUAGCUAGAGUGCGAAAGAGGGUCGCGGAAUUCCCGGUGUAGAGGUGAAAUUCGUAGAUAUCGGGAGGAACACCGGUGGCGAAGGCGGCAUCCUGGACCGACACUGACGCUGAGGAGCGAAAGCCAGGGGAGCAAACGGG
rnacentral:rRNA from 1 species